AUUGAACGCUAGCGGCAGGCCUAACACAUGCCAGUCGAGCGGAUGAAGGGAGCUUGCUCCUGGAUUCAGCGGCGGACGGGUGAGUAAUGCCUAGGAAUCUGCCUGGUAGUGGGGGAUAACGUCCGGAAACGGGCGCUAAUACCGCAUACGUCCUGAGGGAGAAAGUGGGGGAUCUUCGGACCUCACGCUAUCAGAUGAGCCUAGGUCGGAUUAGCUAGUUGGUGGGGUAAAGGCCUACCAAGGCGACCAUCCGUAACUGGUCUGAGAGGAUGAUCAGUCACACUGGAACUGAGACACGGUCCAGACUCCUACGGGAGGCAGCAGUGGGGAAUAUUGGACAAUGGGCGAAAGCCUGAUCCAGCCAUGCCGCGUGUGUGAAGAAGGUCUUCGGAUUGUAAAGCACUUUAAGUUGGGAGGAAGGGCAGUAAGUUAAUACCUUGCUGUUUUGACGUUACCAACAGAAUAAGCACCGGCUAACUUCGUG
rnacentral:rRNA from 1 species